AAUUCGCUUGUUCCCACAAUCAACUGCGUUAUGCUAAUUUGUAGUUUACACAAUAUUUAAAUAACUUUUUUAGGAAAUACACUACAUGAAAAUAAAACAGAGUUGCUGCUACCAGUUACCACCAACAAUGCUAAUUUGUCAACUUUUUACAUGUCCUCAUCGUGAUCAAGAAUUAAAAAUACAAACAUCUCCAACAACCACAAUUCUAGGCUGUUGUUACCAGUUGCCACCGAGUUGCUAGGGCUUCUAAGUUCAAAACCUGAGAUAGUAAUAGCAGAAGUGAUCUACAGAUGCAAAGCCUGCAAAUUUACAGGGAAAUGUGGAUCAGAUUCUCAUCAAUAAAACAAGCUACAAGUCUGGGCUGGAUUUCAACAAACUAAAGCAGACAUGCAUGUACAGACUAGAGCCAAAAAAAUAUGCACAGAACAAGGAUCAGAUUCAGGAAAGGAUCUAUCUAAGUUCAAGAAUGCCACGUUCCUACCUGAACUAGGAAAAAACUAGUAGUACCAAGAAGAACCAAAUAGAAGUCAAAAUAAGAAUCGAGAAUUAUACUUCUUAGGAAGUUAGAAAAGGAAAACAGGAUACUCUAUGUUCUAUUCUAACAAUGGAAGCACUUGCACAAAUUUAGGUAGAGCAGUAACAUUAUUCAUCUUUAACAUUUUUUCUUGUAUACUUGUUGGUUACAUAAUGGGAACAUUCAAGUCAAUCACAUGUACAGUAAAUGAGAAAAACUAACAAAUGCCUCAUGUUGUGUCAAAUUUUAUGCAGCUCCUGCUAAUUUAGUGUUAGCUUGGUGCAGGGCAGUGGCUCCUUUUGCCCAAUCCAAUUCCAGUCCAGCUACUUGAUCACUAGCUUUCAACAAAGAACUUGUUCGUUUUCUCUAAAAGAAUGAAACUGAAUGGUGUGUCCUAGGGGAAACUAAUGGGCAUAUAGAAAAUCAAAUAUGUUAUCAAGGAUAAACAUGAAGCCUACCACUGCUUUGCUAACUCUCCCUACAGAUAAUGGCAUUGCACCAGUUACAAAGCAGUAUUCACUCCGUAUUUACCCAAAAGAAUGGAUAAAAUCAGUAAAAAUAAUCAAACUAGUGUACUCAACCUCAUGGCAACGAAAUUCAGAGCUUUGUUCUUUUCCGAGAACAGAAAAGGCACAUAUGCUUUGAUCUUUGUUGCAGAUCAUAUUAUAUUGAACUCCUAAACCCUAUGACGACUGAUGCAAUUGUUAUGGCAUGGCACUACUGCUUUGACUGGCAAAUGCAAGUUUUUUCUUUUUACCAAACCAGGGGUUAAUUAAUUACUACAUAAUAUGGAGGGGUCACAUAUGGAAAGAGGUAGUGCAUGCUAACCACAGAUGGAAAUGGAGACGCUGGGCGGCCGGCGGCCAGAAGGCAGAUCUAAUGGAAAUGGAAAGAGGAAGAGAGGGACAAUAAACUUACCAGCCAGAAGGUUACUGGAGAGAAAGCCGUCGCUCGCUGAGAAGAUCGCCGUGCUGACGUCGUCGUCCCCCGCCACCGCCGCCGUGUGUUGCUUCGUCCG
rnacentral:lncRNA from 1 species